CCUACGGGUGGCAGCAGUGGGGAAUAUUGGACAAUGGGGGCAACCCUGAUCCAGCCAUGCCGCGUGUGUGGAGAAGGCCCUCGGGUUGUAAAGCACUUUCAGUGAGGAAGAACGCCUGGUGGUUAAUACCCAUCAGGAAAGACAUCACUCACAGAAGAAGCACCGGCUAACUCCGUGCCAGCAGCCGCGGUAAUACGGAGGGUGCGAGCGUUAAUCGGAAUUACUGGGCGUAAAGCGCGCGUAGGUGGCUUGAUAAGCCGGUUGUGAAAGCCCCGGGCUCAACCUGGGAACGGCAUCCGGAACUGUCAAGCUAGAGUGCAGGAGAGGAAGGUAGAAUUCCCGGUGUAGCGGUGAAAUGCGUAGAGAUCGGGAGGAAUACCAGUGGCGAAGGCGGCCUUCUGGACUGACACUGACACUGAGGUGCGAAAGCGUGGGUAGCAAACAGGAUUAGAUACCCUAGUAGUC
rnacentral:rRNA from 1 species